rnacentral:rRNA from 1 species
GUGAGGAAUUUUCCGCAAUGGGCGAAAGCCUGACGGAGCAAUGCCGCGUGAAGGAUGAAGGCCUAUGGGUUGUAAACUUCUUUUCUCAGAAAAGAAUUAUGACGGUAUCUGAGGAAUAAGCAUCGGCUAACUCUGUGCCAGCAGCCGCGGUAAGACAGAGGAUGCAAGCGUUAUCCGGAAUGAUUGGGCGUAAAGCGUCUGUAGGUUGUUUAAAAAGUAUUCUGUCAAGGAUUAGGGCUUAACCCUAGAUAGGCAGAAUAAACUUUUAAGCUAGAGUUUGGUAGAGGCAGAGGGAAUUCCCGGUGGAGCGGUGAAAUGCGUAGAUAUCGGGAGGAACACCAAAGGCGAAGGCACUCUGCUGGGCCAAUACUAACACUGAGAGACGAAAGCGAGGGGAGCAAAUGGGAUUAGAAACCCUUGUAGUCC